rnacentral:rRNA from 1 species
UACGUAGGGGGGCAAGCGUUGUCCGGAUUUAUUGGGCGUAAAGCGCGUGUAGGCGGCCAUGUAGGUCUGACGUGAAAUUCCGAGGCUCAACCUCGGCAGGUCUUUGGAAACCAUAUGGCUAGAGUCCGGAAGAGGAGAGUGGAAUUCCUGGUGUAGCGGUGAAAUGCGCAGAUAUCAGGAAGAACACCAAUGGCGAAGGCAGCUCGCUGGGACGGUACUGACGCUGAGACGCGAAAGCGUGGGGGAGCAAACAGG